rnacentral:misc_RNA from 1 species
GUUUGAACUUGGUUUUUAGUUUUUGUUAUCUGGUGGUAUUAGAUUAUAUUCUCAAUGAAGAGAUACAAAAAUGUUACAGUUUAGUUCUUGUUCUUAUCCUCACUAUCCUGUUAUCGGUAAUCAUUCAAAUAGCAUUGUGCUUCAGGUUUUCCUCUUUGCUAUUGUGGACAAGCUCGAUUGCAGUGUAUUUCAGAAAUACUGCAUAUAGUUGGAACAAUGAUGUCAUUCUCAUUUUUGUGUAAAUGCAGUAAUGAGAAUGUUCUUAUGUGUUUCCAAACAGCAUGAUUUAAAUUUUUUUACCAUGAUCCUGGGAUUUUUUAUAUUUGAUUUGCUAGCCAUGCAUGCAUGCGUUGGACUUACGCUCAUCUGAUGAGUUCUUUGUUGUUCAUCUGUUAUUCUUAACUUCAGUAACCAUUGUUCCUGUCUUAACUAAAUUUUUGUGUAGGCUAUACGCCAUGAAGCUUUCA